rnacentral:rRNA from 10 species
CUUGACACUGAACAUUGAGCCUUGAUGUGUAGGAUAGGUGGGAGGCUUUGAAGUGUGGACGCCAGUCUGCAUGGAGCCGACCUUGAAAUACCACCCUUUAAUGUUUGAUGUUCUAACGUGGACCCGUAAUCCGGGUUGCGGACAGUGUCUGGUGGGUAGUUUGACUGGGGCGGUCUCCUCCUAAAGAGUAACGGAGGAGCACGAAGGUUGGCUAAUCCUGGUCGGACAUCAGGAGGUUAGUGCAAUGGCAUAAGC